UCGCUAGUAAUCGCGGAUCAGAAUGCCGCGGUGAAUACGUUCCCGGGUCUUGUACACACCGCCCGUCANACCAUGGGAGGUCGGAAAUGCCCGAAGUCUGUGACCUAACCGUAAGGAAGGAGCAGCCGAAGGCAGGUCGGAUGACUGGGGUGAAGUCGUAACAAGGUACC
rnacentral:rRNA from 1 species